rnacentral:piRNA from 1 species
UGGAGAACUCUAGGUGAUGGUCUGAUAGC